rfam:Deinococcus swuensis strain DY59, complete genome.
GCCACCCUAGCUCAACUGGUAGAGCACCCGAUUUGUAAUCGGAAGGUUGUCGGUUCGAUUCCGAUGGGUGGCU